AGAGGUUAGGUAUGUAGUGGGUAGGCAGGUAAGAUGGGAGAGGUUAGGUAUGUAGUGGGUAGGCAGGUAAGAUGGGAGAGGUUAGGUAUGUAGUGGGUAGGCAGGUAAGAUAGGAGAGGUUAGGUAUGUAGUGGGUAGGCAGGUAAGAUAGGAGAGGUUAGGUAUGUAGUGGGUAGGCAGGUAAGAUAGGAGAGGUUAGGUAUGUAGUGGGUAGGCAGGUAAGAUAGGAGAGGUUAGGUAUGUAGUGGGUAGGCAGGUAAGAUAGGAGAGGUUAGGUAUGUAGUGGGUAGGCAGGUAAGAUAGGAGAGGUUAGGUAUGUAGUGGGUAGGCAGGUAAGAUAGGAGAGGUUAGGUAUGUAGUGGGUAGGCAGGUAAGAUAGGAGAGGUUAGGUAUGUAGUGGGUAGGCAGGUAAGAUAGGAGAGGUUAGGUAUGUAGUGGGUAGGCAGGUAAGAUAGGAGAGGUUAGGUAUGUAGUGGGUAGGCAGGUAAGAUAGGAGAGGUUAGGUAUGUAGUGGGUAGGCAGGUAAGAUAGGAGAGGUUAGGUAUGUAGUGGGUAGGCAGGUAAGAUAGGAGAGGUUAGGUAUGUAGUGGGUAGGCAGGUAAGAUAGGAGAGGUUAGGUAUGUAGUGGGUAGGCAGGUAAGAUAGGAGAGGUUAGGUAUGUAGUGG